rnacentral:rRNA from 1 species
GGAGAAAAGCAGGGGAUCGCAAGACCUUGCGCUUUUGGAGCGGCCGAUGCCUGAUUAGCUUGUUGGUGAGGUAAAAGCUCACCAAGGCUCCGAUCAGUAGCUGGUCUGAGAGGACGACCAGCCACACUGGGACUGAGACACGGCCCAGACUCCUACGGGAGGCAGCAGUGGGGAAUUUUGGACAAUGGGGGCAACCCUGAUCCAGCCAUGCCGCGUGAGUGAAGAAGGCCUUCGGGUUGUAAAGCUCUUUCAGCCGGAACGAAACGGUCACGGUUAAUACCCGUGACUACUGACGGUACCGGAAGAAGAAGCACCGGCUAACUACGUGCCAGCAGCCGCGGUAAUACGUAGGGUGCGAGCGUUAAUCGGAAUUACUGGGCGUAAAGCGUGCGCAGGCGGUUUUGUAAGUCAGAUGUGAAAUCCCCGGGCUUAACCUGGGAACUGCGUUUGAAACUACAAAGCUAG